rnacentral:rRNA from 1 species
AUGAACGCUGGCGGCGUGCCUAAUACAUGCAAGUCGAGCGAACAGAUGAGGAGCUUGCUCCUCUUACGUUAGCGGCGGACGGGUGAGUAACACGUGGAUAACCUACCUAUAAGACUGGGAUAACUUCGGGAAACCGGAGCUAAUACCGGAUAAUAUAUUGAACCGCAUGGUUCAAUAGUGAAAGACGGUUUUGCUGUCACUUAUAGAUGGAUCCGCGCCGCAUUAGCUAGUUGGUAAGGUAACGGCUUACCAAGGCAACGAUGCGUAGCCGACCUGAGAGGGUGAUCGGCCACACUGGAACUGAGACACGGUCCAGACUCCUACGGGAGGCAGCAGUAGGGAAUCUUCCGCAAUGGGCGAAAGCCUGACGGAGCAACGCCGCGUGAGUGAUGAAGGUCUUCGGAUCGUAAAACUCUGUUAUUAGGGAAGAACAAAUGUGUAAGUAACUAUGCACGUCUUGACGGUACCUAAUCAGAAAGCCACGGCUAACUACGUG